GACGUAGGGCGCGAGCGUUGUCCGGAUUUAUUGGGCGUAAAGAGCUCGUAGGCGGCUUGUCGCGUCGACUGUGAAAUCCCGCGGCUCAACUGCGGGUCUGCAGCCGAUACGGGCAAGCUAGAAUUCGGUAGGGGAGACUGGAAUUCCUGGUGUAGCGGUGAAAUGCGCAGAUAUCAGGAGGAACACCGGUGGCGAAGGCGGGUCUCUGGGCCGAUAUUGACGCUGAGGAGCGAAAGCGUGGGGAGCGAACAGG
rnacentral:rRNA from 1 species